rnacentral:rRNA from 1 species
AACGAACGCUGGCGGCAUGCCUAACACAUGCAAGUCGAACGAGACCUUCGGGUCUAGUGGCGCACGGGUGCGUCACGCGUGGGAACCUGCCCUUAGGUUCGGAAUAACUCCCCGACAGGGGUGCUAAUACCGGAUAAUGUCUUCGGACCAAAGAUUUAUCGCCUUUGGAUGGGCCCGCGUUGGAUUAGCUAGUUGGUAGGGUAAAAGCCUACCAAGGCGACGAUCCAUAGCUGGUCUGAGAGGAUGAUCAGCCACACUGGGACUGAGACACGGCCCAGACUCCUACGGGAGGCAGCAGUGGGGAAGAUUGGACAAUGGGCGAAAGCCUGAUCCAGCAAUGCCGCGUGAGUGAUGAAGGCCUUAGGGUUGUAAAGCUCUUUUACCCGGGAUGAUAAUGACAGUACCGGGAGAAUAAGCUCCGGCUAACUCCG